rnacentral:rRNA from 1 species
AGAGUUUGAUCAUGGCUCAGGAUAAACGCUGGCGGCGCACAUAAGACAUGCAAGUCGAACGGAAGUCGUUAUAAAAAGGAUUGAAGAUUUAUCUGAUUGAGAUUUUAUAACAAUGGCUUUAGUGGCGGACUGGUGAGUAACGCGUGAGCAACCUGCCUACUAGAGGGGAAUAACAGUGAGAAAUCAUUGCUAAUACCGCAUAUGCCAUGAACAUCACAUGAUGAAAAUGGGAAAAGAGUAAUCUGCUAGUAGAUGGGCUCGCGUCUGAUUAGAUAGUUGGUGGGGUAACGGCCUACCAAGUCGACGAUCAGUAGCCGGACUGAGAGGUUGAACGGCCACAUUGGGACUGAGAUACGGCCCAGACUCCUACGGGAGGCAGCAGUCGGGAAUAUUGCGCAAUGGAGGAAACUCUGACGCAGUGACGCCGCGUAUAGGAAGAAGGUUUUCGGAUUGUAAACUAUUGUCGUUAGGGAAGAUACAAGACAGUACCUAAGGAGGAAGCUCCGGCUAACUACGUGCCAGCAGCCGCGGUAAUACGUAGGGAGCAAGCGUUAUCCGGAU